rnacentral:rRNA from 1 species
GACGAACGCUGGCGGCGUGCUUAACACAUGCAAGUCGAACGGUAAGGCUCCAGCUUGCUGGGGUACACGAGUGGCGAACGGGUGAGUAACACGUGGGUGACCUGCCCUGCACUUCGGGAUAAGCCUGGGAAACUGGGUCUAAUACCGGAUAGGACCGCACCGUGAGGGUGUGGUGGAAAGUUUUUUCGGUGUGGGAUGGGCCCGCGGCCUAUCAGCUUGUUGGUGGGGUAAUGGCCUACCAAGGCGGCGACGGGUAGCCGGCCUGAGAGGGUGGACGGCCACAUUGGGACUGAGACACGGCCCAGACGCCUACGGGAGGCAGCAGUGGGGAAUAUUGCACAAUGGGCGGAAGCCUGAUGCAGCGACGCCGCGUGGGGGAUGACGGCCUUCGGGUUGUAAACUCCUUUCACCAUCGACGAAGGGUUUCUGACGGUAGAUGGAGAAGAAGCACCGGCUAACUACGU